rnacentral:rRNA from 1 species
GACGAACGCUGGCGGCGUGCUUAACACAUGCAAGUCGAACGGAAAGGCCCUGCUUUUGUGGGGUGCUCGAGUGGCGAACGGGUGAGUAACACGUGAGUAACCUGCCCUUGACUUUGGGAUAACUUCAGGAAACUGGGGCUAAUACCGGAUAGGAGCUCCUGCUGCAUGGUGGGGGUUGGAAAGUUUCGGCGGUUGGGGAUGGACUCGCGGCUUAUCAGCUUGUUGGUGGGGUAGUGGCUUACCAAGGCUUUGACGGGUAGCCGGCCUGAGAGGGUGACCGGCCACAUUGAGACUGAGAUACAGCACAGAGUCCUACGGGAGGCAGCAGUGGGGAAUAUUGAACAAUGGGCGGAAGCCUGAUGCAGCAACGCAGCGUACGGGAUGACGGCAUUCGGGUUGUAAACCGCUGUCGCCUGUGACGAAGCGUGAGUGACGGUAAUAGGUAAAGAAGCACCGGCUAACUACGUG